rnacentral:rRNA from 1 species
AGAGUUUGAUCCUGGCUCAGAACGAACGCUGGCGGCAGGCUUAACACAUGCAAGUCGAGCGCCCCGCAAGGGGAGCGGCAGACGGGUGAGUAACGCGUGGGAAUCUACCUUUUGCUACGGAAUAACUCAGGGAAACUUGUGCUAAUACCGUAUGUGCCCCCCUUUAAAAUUUCAGGAUACCUAAAAUGCCCUGGCAUUUUAUGGGGGGGAAAGAUUUAUCGGCAAAGGAUGAGCCCGCGUUGGAUUAGCUAGUUGGUGGGGUAAAGGCCCACCAAGGCGACGAUCCAUAGCUGGUCUGAGAGGAUGAUCAGCCACACUGGGACUGAGACACGGCCCAGACUCCUACGGGAGGCAGCAGUGGGGAAUAUUGGACAAUGGGCGCAAGCCUGAUCCAGCCAUGCCGCGUGAGUGAUGAAGGCCCUAGGGUUGUAAAGCUCUUUCACCGGUGAAGAUAAUGACGGUAACCGGAGAAGAAGCCCCGGCUAACUUCGUGCCAGCCGCCGCGGUAAUUC